GUCUUUUUGUUUUAUAUUUAAAGUCUAGCCUGCCCACUGAAAUUUAAAUGGCCGCAGUAUAUUGACUGUGCUAAGGUAGCAUAAUCAUUAGUUUUUUAAUUAAAAGCUGGAAUGAAGGGUUGGAUGAAAUAAUAACUGUCUUAAUUGAUUUUAAUUGAAUUUUAUUUUUAAAUUAAAAAGUUUAAAUAUUAUUAAAAGACGAGAAGACCCUAUAGAGUUUAAUUUAUUUAUAUAUUAUUUUAUUUAGAAUUAAUUUUUAUAUUAUAUAAAUGAAUUUAAUUGGGGUGAUUAAAAAAUUUAUUUAACUUUUUUUAUAUUAUAAUAUUAAUUAAUAGAUAAUUGAUCUUUUUUGAUGAUUAUAAGAUUAAAUUACCUUAGGGAUAACAGCGUAAUUUUAUUGGAGAGUUCUUAUUGAUAAUAAAGAUUGCGACCUCGAUGUUGGAUUAAAAUUUAUAAUUAGUGUAGAAGCUAUAUAAUUAAGUCUGUUCGACUUUUAAAAUUUUACA
rnacentral:rRNA from 1 species